GACGAACGCUGGCGGCGUGCUUAACACAUGCAAGUCGAACGGAAAGGCCCUGCUUUUGUGGGGUGCUCGAGUGGCGAACGGGUGAGUAACACGUGAGUAACCUGCCCUUGACUUUGGGAUAACUUCAGGAAACUGGGGCUAAUACCGGAUAGGAGCUCCUGCUGCAUGGUGGGGGUUGGAAAGUUUCGGCGGUUGGGGAUGGACUCGCGGCUUAUCAGCUUGUUGGUGGGGUAGUGGCUUACCAAGGCUUUGACGGGUAGCCGGCCUGAGAGGGUGACCGGCCACAUUGGGACUGAGAUACGGCCCAGACUCCUACGGGAGGCAGCAGUGGGGAAUAUUGCACAAUGGGCGGAAGCCUGAUGCAGCAACGCCGCGUGCGGGAUGACGGCCUUCGGGUUGUAAACCGCUUUUGCCUGAGACGAAGCGUGAGUGACGGUAAUGGGUAAAGAAGCACCGGCUAACUACGUG
rnacentral:rRNA from 1 species